rnacentral:rRNA from 1 species
GACGAACGCUGGCGGCGUGCCUAAUACAUGCAAGUCGAGCGCAGGAAAUCAUCCGAACCUUUCGGGGGGACGUUGAUGGAAUGAGCGGCGGACGGGUGAGUAACACGUAAAGAACCUGCCCUCAGGUCUGGGAUAACCACGAGAAAUCGGGGCUAAUACCGGAUGGGUCAUCGGACCGCAUGGUCCGAGGAUGAAAGGCGCUUCGGCGUCGCCUGGGGAUGGCUUUGCGGUGCAUUAGCUAGUUGGUGGGGUAAUGGCCCACCAAGGCGACGAGGCAUAGCCGACCUGAGAGGGGGCUCGGCCACACUGGGACUGAGACACGGCCCAGACUCCUACGGGAGGCAGCAGUAGGGAAUCUUCCACAAUGGACGAAAGUCUGAUGGAGCAACGCCGCGUGAACGAUGAGGGCCUUCGGGUCGUAAAGUUCUGUUGUAAGGGAAGAACAAGUGCCGCAGGCAAUGGCGGCACCUUGACGGUACCUUGCGAGAAAGCCACGGCUAACUACGUGCCAGCCGCCGCAGUAA